rnacentral:rRNA from 1 species
GACGAACGCUGGCGGCGUGCUUAACACAUGCAAGUCGAACGGAAAGGCCCUGCUUUUGUGGGGUGCUCGAGUGGCGAACGGGUGAGUAACACGUGAGUAACCUGCCCUUGACUUUGGGAUAACUUCAGGAAACUGGGGCUAAUACCGGAUAGGAGCUCCUGAUGCAUGGGGGGGGUUGGAAAGUUUCGGCGGUUGGGGAUGGAUUCGCAGCUUAUCAGCUUGUUGGUGGGGUAGUGGCUUACCAAGGCUUUGACGGGUAGCCGGCCUGAGAGGGUGACCGGCCACCUUGGGACUGAGGUACGGCCCAGACUCCUACGGGAGGCAGCAGUGGGGAAUAUUGCACAAUGGGCGGAAGCCUGAUGCAGCAACGCCGCGUGCGGGAUGACGUCCUUCGGGUUGUAAACCGCUUUCGCCUGUGACGAAGCGUGAGUGACGGUAAUGGGUAAAGAAGCACCGGCUAACUACGUG